UCAGACUGUUUGUCUUGCAUUAGAGUU
rnacentral:piRNA from 1 species